rnacentral:lncRNA from 1 species
AUGAAUAAUGGCAACUUUGGUAUCUUUUUGCCAUUUUCUUCCUCACAAGCUUCCAUCAAUACUCUCUUUGUAUUCAAUCUAGGUCUUAGGAUUUUUGGUUACAUAUAGUGGAAAAUAAUGUAAUGUGGCAAUGUUGAAGAGAUUAGGGGAAGCUCCUUUAGCAGAAAAUGGGGGUCCUAUCGGUUAUGUUUGCCUUUUUCUGAAUUGAAGAUAAAGACCAAAAUUUCUAUAUGUUAUGGAGUAUUUUAUUGUGCUACGUGUAGUUUUUAAAAAAAUGAAAUUAUGU